rnacentral:rRNA from 1 species
UGGGGAAUUUUGGACAAUGGGGGAAACCCUGAUCCAGCCAUCCCGCGUGUGCGAUGAAGGCCUUCGGGUUGUAAAGCACUUUUGGCAGGAAAGAAACGUCAUGGGUUAAUACCCCGUGAAACUGACGGUACCUGCAGAAUAAGCACCGGCUAACUACGUGCCAGCAGCCGCGGUAAUACGUAGGGUGCAAGCGUUAAUCGGAAUUACUGGGCGUAAAGCGUGCGCAGGCGGUUCGGAAAGAAAGAUGUGAAAUCCCAGAGCUCAACUUUAGAACUGCAUUUUUAACUACCGGGCUAGAGUGUGUCAGAGGGAGGUGGAAUUCCGCGUGUAGCAGUGAAAUGCGUAGAUAUGCGGAGGAACACCGAUGGCGAAGGCAGCCUCCUGGGAUAACACUGACGCUCAUGCACGAAAGCGUGGGGAGCAAACAGG